UUUAUUGGAGAGUUUGAUCCUGGCUCAGGACGAACGCUGGCGGCGUGCCUAAUACAUGCAAGUCGAGCGGACUUUAAAA
rnacentral:rRNA from 1 species